CCCUGGGUGGCUCAGUCGGUUGAGCGUCCGACUUCAACUCAGGGCAUAACCUCGAGGUCUGUGGGUUCGAGCCCCGCAUCAGGCU
rfam:Felis catus isolate Cinnamon breed Abyssinian chromosome B2, whole genome shotgun sequence.